GGCAAGAUGGCCGAGCGGUUUAAGGCGCUCGUUUUAGGCACCAGACAAUUCGGGGGCGUGGGUUCGAAUCCUACUCUCGUCA
rnacentral:tRNA from 1 species